rnacentral:rRNA from 1 species
UACGGAGGGUGCGAGCGUUGUCCGGAUUUAUUGGGUUUAAAGGGUGCGUAGGCGGCUUGUUAAGUCCGGGGUGAAAGCCCACAGCUCAACUGUGGAACUGCCCUGGAUACUGGCAAGCUUGAGUCCAGACGAGGUUGGCGGAAUGGAUGCUGUAGCGGUGAAAUGCAUAGAUAGCAUCCAGAACCCCGAUUGCGAAGGCAGCUGACUAGGCUGGCACUGACGCUGAGGCACGAAAGCGUGGGGAGCGAACAGGAUUAGAAACCCCCGUAGUCC